UACGGGGGGGGUAAGCGUUGUUCGGAAUUACUGGGCGUAAAGGGCUCGUAGGCGGCCAACUAAGUCGGACGUGAAAUCCCUCAGCUUAACUGGGGAACUGCGUCCGAUACUGGAUGGCUUGAAUUCGGGAGAGGGAUGCAGAAUUCCAGGUGUAGCGGUGAAAUGCGUAGAUAUCUGGAGGAAUACCGGUGGCGAAGGCGGCAUCCUGGACCGACAUUGACGCUGAGGAGCGAAAGCUAGGGGAGCAAACGGG
rnacentral:rRNA from 1 species